GGAGUUAGCCGGUGCUUCUUCUGCGAGUAACGUCACAGAUGUAAGGUAUUAACUUACACCCUUUCCUCCUCGCUGAAAGUGUUUUACAACCCGAAGGCCUUCUUCACACACGCGGCAUGGCUGCAUCAGGGUUUCCCCCAUUGUGCAAUAUUCCCCACUGCUGCCUCCCGUAGGAGUCUGGGCCGUGUCUCAGUCCCAGUGUGGCUGAUCAUCCUCUCAGACCAGCUAGGGAUCGUCGCCUAGGUGAGCCUUUACCUCACCUACUAGCUAAUCCCACCUGGGCUUAUCCAUCAGCGCAAGGCCCGAAGGUCCCCUGCUUUCCCCCGUAGGGCGUAUGCGGUAUUAGCAGUCGUUUCCAACUGUUAUCCCCCACAAAUGGGCAAAUUCCCAGGCAUUACUCACCCGUCCGCCGCUCGUCAUCUUCAAAAGCAAGCUUUUGAAAUGUUACCGCUCGACUUGCAUGUGUUAGGCCUGCCGCCAGCGUUCAAUCUGAGCCAGGAUCAAACUCUGA
rnacentral:rRNA from 1 species